CUUAUCAAGAGCGGUGGAGGGAACGGCCCUGUGAAGCCCGGCAACCUGUGGGAGACCAUAAGGUGCCAAAUCCGGCGGGAAACGAAAGAUAAG
rnacentral:ncRNA from 1 species